rnacentral:snRNA from 1 species
AUGCUUCAGCAGCACGUAUUCCCAAAUUAAAAUACAGAGAAACAUGGCAAUUGCACAAGGAUGAUAUGAAAUUUGUGAAGUAUUCCCUAUUUUU